rnacentral:rRNA from 1 species
UGGGGAAUAUUGCACAAUGGGGGGAACCCUGAUGCAGCAACGCCGCGUGAAGGAAGAAGUAUUUCGGUAUGUAAACUUCUAUCGACAGGGAAGAAAAAAAUGACGGUACCUGAAUAAGAAGCACCGGCUAAAUACGUGCCAGCAGCCGCGGUAAUACGUAUGGUGCAAGCGUUAUCCGGAUUUACUGGGUGUAAAGGGUGAGUAGGCGGUUAUGCAAGUCAUAUGUGAAAUUCUGGGGCUCAACCUCAGCGCUGCAUAAGAAACUGUGUAACUAGAGUACAGGAGAGGUAAGCGGAAUUCCUAGUGUAGCGGUGAAAUGCGUAGAUAUUAGGAAGAACACCGGUGGCGAAGGCGGCUUACUGGACUGAAACUGACGCUGAGUCACGAAAGCGUGGGGAGCGAACAGG